rnacentral:misc_RNA from 1 species
CUGUCCAACCGUAGAAGAACCCCUUGCAGCGGCUGUGCUAUCCGGCGCUUGGGGGAGGCAAUUGGUAAAGUUUUCAUGCCGAAACGCUAAACAAAAUUGGGCUAUGCAGGGUGCCGAGCAGACCUGCAAGCACGCCGAAGCCAGUGAAAGGUAAUGGACCCAAGGGACACGGCUUGAGCUCCGGCUGCAUGUAGCCUUGCGGUCACUGAGCGUCUGUGUUUCUCCACGGCCCGGCUUCGAGUGCUGCAUUCAAGCUGGAUCCUUCACAAGUCACCGGCAUGGAGCCACAGCCGGGUGUGCUGGACAUUCUGGCUCAGUUCUGCCACCGGCUGCUGCAUUGGGGCCCACUGACGGCGCUUUUCAUCAUCAAAUUCAUUUUUCUGACCAGCCUGUACGUGACAUCUAUGUGGCUCUCGCCUUAUGGUUCAACGUUAGGUACCGUCAACCACGCGAUAUUCAUCGGUUGGGUUGGAGUCCUCCUGUACAAUUUCUUCAUGGCCGUCGCUAUGGGACCGGGCUUCGUGCCUCUGAAGUGGAGGCCGGACCAGCCAGAUGACGAGCAGUUCCUGCAAUACUGUGCAAACUGUGAUGGAUUUAAGACACCACGGUCACACCACUGCCGUAAAUGUGAAAGGUGUGUCCUCAAGAUGGACCAUCACUGUCCAUGGAUCAACACUUGUUGUGGGCACCGGAACCAUGCCAACUUCACACUUUUUUUGUUCUUUGCUGUCUGUGGCAGCAUUCAUGCCUUGGUGCUGUUGAUCAUGGGCCUGGCUAAAGCCUAUCACAGGAAAUAUUACAUGCGCCAAGGCCAAGAGGACAAUCUAGUCUACCUGGGUUUCUUCCCUUUUCUGGCCACGGUGCUGAGCCUGGGCUUAGCCAUUGGUGUCAUCAUUGCAGUGGGAAGCCUCUUUGUUAUACAGCUCAAAAUUAUCAUUCGCAACGAGACGACUAUUGAGAACUGGAUCGUGGCCAAGGCCCAGAUGCGAGAGCGUGAAGAGGAAGACGACUUUGUCUAUCCAUACAACCUGGGCGUGGCUGAGAACCUGAAGCAGGUCUUUUUGUACCCACUUGGUGAUGGCAUUACCUGGCCUGUGGUGCCUGGGUGCAACCAGUACACACUCACUGUUGAGCAAAUUCUUCAGAAGCAUGACAAGCGGCUACGAACCCGCCUGUACACUGUGGUACACCCAUAUCGUGGCUCCUUUUUCCCAAUAUCACAUGGCUGCUCUGUUUGCAUGACGACACCACUCACUGAUGAGCCCCGCAUUGCAGUCAGCCCUGGUGAUCGUGUUCUUGUAACUCGGUGGAAAAAGCACUGGCUUUAUGGAGAGUUAGAAAGUGCAAAGUUUUCAACGAAAUCUUCACGCAGGCUGAAGGGCUGGUUCCCACGGCAGUGUGCAGUUGAGGUGGCUGGCAGUAAGGGGAGCCGGAGCUGCACAGAGGCAUCAUCAAGCUAUGCCGACCACAAGAAGUACAAGUGAAACGUGCCAUCACAUCACUGCACCGCUGCAGCCUCUAUUGUCUGCCAAGCUUAGCUGCCAGAUUUCAGACCAGUCAAAUUUUCCCUCCCGUGGGCAGCUGUCCCUGUUGCGUGUGGAUGGACUCGGCUGCUCCCCAAGUCAGUUUUGGGCAGCAUCUGAGCCAGUGAUGGAGGGUGAAAAGAAUGGAAAAGGAAAGAGAUCACAAGAAAAUGUGGCCCUUGUUUGCCAAAUGAAAAGCAAAACUAAACUAGCGGUGGCAUUAACUGAAAUAUUACAAUGUGUAGAAUUGCAUGCAAAAGUUUGUUUGACAUCUUGCAUUUUUUUACUAAAUAGCAGUACAUAAUUCGGCAUGCUUGAAUGUAAGAAAUCAAUGUUUUGUUUUCAUAGAUGAAAAGGGAAACUUUAAGGGGCCCUUACCAGGUUUGGGCACUGCGAGGCAAUGGCGGCACAUAGAUGUUGCAGUGACAGUCUUGUCUGCUGAGUAUUACACUGAUGUACACCGUGAAAACAGCUGAAAAUUUUAACAAAAGCUUGCACUCUCAUUCAGAGGAGCCUCUCGUUUCCUGCCAGCAAAAAUGGCAUCUCAUGUGUGGCACUUUAACAUCGCACAAGUGAUUUAAUGCACAAGUAGCCAGCAGCAGCACAAACAACUUGGGGAUUCUUGUGUAAAGCACAAUACUAUCUCCAAAAAUACAUUACACAGCAGAAAAUUUAAAAAAGAGAGGAAAGAAAGGAACGAAGAGGUGGUAGUUCAUGACAUAAACAUCAAAUGGGUCUUUGGCUCUGAUGUGGGAGAAGGCAGAAGUGGAGUGUCAGUUGCAGGCGCUUAGCGAGGCAGCUGAAGAGAGCCUCUGCUACAGGAUGGGUAGCUUACCUCUUCACACUAUGGCCUUGCAACGUUUCAGUUGUUUCUAUCUCAUCCACUACCGAACUUGUUAUACAAUUUUUUUCUGUUGAACGCUCCUUUAAUGGCACACUUCACAACUUCUAGCGUGUAACCAAAAUUGCUGAUGGGGCCUGGUUAGGGGCCCUUCAAAGGAACCAGUGCUCAAUCAAAAUAUGUGAUGAGAUAAUGAUGCAGGAAAAAGGCCACACCUCAUACUGAUCAAAAUAAAUCUGGACAUUAUUCUUUAUAUAACAAGCUUUAUUUUUAAUUUGAGAGAAAGUUGAGCAAAAAUGGUGUUUCAGGACUCGGCACUUAAACGCUGUCAUUAAACCUGUUUGUGCUUCAUGCUAUCUCGCAUCGGUGUGCAUACCUAAGUUGCUCCACGUUUCAUCAAAAAUAAUUUUUGGUAGCAUUGGGACACUUUUGCAUUUAAAAAUUUUGUUUUGCUUUGCCUUGUAUGCUUGCAUGCGCAUGUGUGCACAUACAGUAAGUGGCUGCAAUAUUAACCGGAUAAAAGAAGCUUGAUUAGCCAGACCUCAUUCUGAGGCCAAAAAUUAAGCAUUUGGAACAAAGAUUAAAACUUACCUACAAUCAUUGUCUAUGAUAACUGCAGUCAUAGUCUCGUCACUUGUUCUUCAAAUGCUUUGUCAACGUUUCUUGAAGGUGUGAACGAUGUGUCAGGUGCAAUUUUUCUCUUGUUUGUCUGUGCAUGCUUGCACGUAUGAAUUUAUGGGUGCGCAUGUAUGUGUGUGUGUGCACACAAACAUUUAAAAACAUUUUUUUGUCUACCUCAUGUUACUUUUUUCCUUCUUUCCCUUCUCUCAUUUUUUCACUUCUCUGCAAGCGCAUCUUGGUGAUGUUUGCACCUGGCAAAUGCCCCUGCCACUCUAAAUAGUGCUCAGAUCCAUUAGAAUAUCUUGGCAAAAAAAAAAAAAGAUUAUGCACAUUACAUUAUUUAGCUAUUGCAAAGGCCUAUCACAUGUUUGUGGGCAAACUUUUCUUGCUGCCAAGGCUACGUCAUUUGCAGUUCACUUUCUGCACUAUUGCCAGCAUCCACCCAUAGCAAAGUUGGGAGUUAGUAGGUUGAAAAGUUAUUCAAAAGGUUUUUCUUUUCUUUUUUUUCCGCCUUAUCUGAAGCAAGUGUUGCGGGUCUGGGUAAUAUUGGACGUAAGCUUUCCAUUGCGGUACAAAAGAAAUGGCGACCUUCAAAAUCGAUUGUCGGUCUCUUAAAAUGAAACUGUAAUAGUCAUUCGCACUUAUUUUUCUACAUCAAGUGCAAAGCAUUAGUGUAGAGAUGACUGUUUUCAGUGUUUCUAUUAAGGUACAAAUGAAAAGCAGAUCUCAAUACAUAAUAUGUGUGCACUUAUCAUGAGUCUUUCUGUACUGUCUAUUUGUGACACUACUGACACAUUUGUGUGCAUGGUGAUCUGCCAGGUGGGGUGUCAGUGUUUAUAACGACUUUUCCUGCUGCAGCUAGAUAGCUUGUGAGGGUGGAUAUGUUUGUGAGGUGCCACUUACACCAGGAGAUGGAGUUCGGGAGGUGUGCUUUGUGGCAUCAUUUUGUUGGAGUGUUUCGGCUAGGUAGUAGGCAGCUGCAGUAUUACCACCGUCGUUACUGCAAAUUGUUGCUACCACUGCAUUGAAAAAUAUAUAUUUUAUGGCUGUUUCUAGACCACACUGGUAAGAUUUCAGUGGUAACAUGUUACGUUUUAUAGAGACCAUUCAUAAUAGUGCAGGCACCAAAAGAUUAAAUGCUCUACUCAUGUUCAUGAUUGGACUCUGUAGUCGCCCACUUUGAGAAGUUCUUUCAUGUGAAGUGCAUUCUGUUUGAUGCAUUGAUUAGUGAGGUGAAAGUUUGUUAAGCAAUUGCUUAAAGUAUUACUUAUUUCGAAAUUGUCAAUGUGAGAAUCUUUUGUCACUUUCUGACUGCACCCAAUCCAAAUAACAAUAACCGCAUGCCAAAUUUUUUCAUGUUUGUGUGAAUACAAAAACAUUUGAGGUUGAAAGGAUUUGGGGCAGUCUUGAUUAUUGUGCUUUGAAAGGUGUGGUUUAUAAGGAUGAUGAUUCUGGUUCAUACACAAAGGUGAAUGUGCUUCUGUACUUCUAGAGGUGUAUAUUGUGGAGACGGGUAUAUACUGGAGCUUACAAAAAACAUUUCUGGCGAUAUUAUUUGCAAUGUAUAGUCUGUAAAUUUUCCUAGAUACAUCCUUCCAAUACAUGGUCUUGUAUGUGAAAAUAAAAUGUUAGCAAAGCAAGCAGUCUUCCAAUGGCCAAGUUCUCAAAAAAAAUUUUACAAAGAAAGGAAGUUGCAGUUUUUUACUAAUAACUUCCAUAUAAAAGUUAUACUUCAGGUUGUGUUCACAUAGUAUACACUGGCACUGCAUUUGGCAGAAAGAGACUUGAGGACGAGCAUAUCAGUUUGGACUAGUUGAUAAUGCAUAAUUUGCGUGUAGAUGACAUGUGACAACGAACAAAGAAUGAGACUGUGCUGCACGUAACAAUAACAUUCAAAUGCAUUAAAAUUUUUUUUUUAACCUUACAUCACUUACAAGGAUCAUCAUGCUACCUCGAAGCAAGCAUGCUCACAGAAAUGUGAAUUCUUUUUGUGAUAGCAUGAUUGAAGGUUUAUACACUGAGAGGUCUCCACGCCUAGGUACCCAUUUCACUUCAAUAUCCUCUGUGGUCAGCUGAUUAUGGCUUUUCCCUAGAAUAAUGGCGUUCGUGUUAGCCAUGCCAUGACCAUAAUCAAUGGUACUGGAGGUCUUGCUGAAGCAAAUUAGCUUCUGUAGCUUAUCUGCAGAGCACACCACCUUCAAACACAUGCUGUUUUCUUCAAGUGGUUGGAAACACAUUGAAUGUAUGGGAUCACAGUAAAUACUGGAUCAUGACCCUAUGUAAAUGCUAGCUAUGGCCACCAUAAAAGUAAAACAGUUAGAAAUUAGCACUAUGUGUGUCUGUAUCUGUUCCUUUGUGCUACCUGCAGUUGAAUCAGGCUUUGGGUGGGAGGGGGGAGGGGCAGGGGACUUGCAUACAUGGAAGAAUCUAUAGAAAAUAUGCAUUAUUGCUUUAAUGUUUCAACCCAAUUUACUGUCAAGUUUUGCUUAAAUAGUAGUUUCAGAUAAUUCUGUUGCUCUGUGCAUGGCUCUUAGGCUGGAGCCAGUUAUUUUCUUUCAUUGUGCAUCCAGAAAGCAAUGCUUUCAGUUCUUAAAACAUUUUAGGAUGCCCCAUGGCAGUAGUGUACAACACAAGCAUCUGGGACAUGUAGAAAGGGAUUGGCUUAGAAUGUGGCCUCUGACUUGCCAGUCUUGUACCUUAACUGGUAUCAUUCACCAUGACCUCACUGAUAAUUUUUUUUCUAACAUUGCAGUCUCCAUUAUAUGAAUGUGAAGUGUGGUGCAUGAUGAAAGGAUUCACACGCACUGGAUGUAAAAACCUGACAGUUGUUUUCUGUAGCUUUGAAUGUUCCCACUGUGAUGACAUUCAUAAUGAAGGAAUGCGGUGCUUAUGUUUUAACUUUACUGCCUUCACCAGCCUUGAGGCCUCUUUGUUUUUGGUAUGCAUGUGUGCAAUGUAAAGAAAUGCUGAAGUAUACAGUAGCACAAUACUCGGAUGUAUUUUUGCUGAGUAAUAUUUGAGGAGAAGGCAGGGUGAAUAUUUUUUCUGAGGUAAUUUUUGGCUAUUGCCCUGUGUAUAUAUGAGUGCAGUCAUCUCCACUGGCUGUUACUGGGAUAAAACGAAACUAUCGUGGUGAUAUUGUCCUUUUUAAGGUUUCGUUUUUACAAUGGAAUCAAUGAUAGCCGCACCUUGUAUGCAGGCUGACAAGGUUGUUAUUGUUUUUUUUUUAGUCAUCAUGCCCAUAUGUUUUCGGUCCAGUGUAGUAAAAAUUGUUUCUGAUUAGGCAGGGGUGAACAAUGGCGUCUUUAGGCUCUUGCAUCUGAAUGUUCCUCCUCAGUGUUUGUGACAAGUGAGGAUGUAAGGGAUUUGGAACGCCAUUACUCACCUUCUGAUUUGGUCGGUCAUUGCACUUUUGUCUCAUUGUCAUGGCUUCUUGCCAUAUUAACUUCCAGUGAACUGUGAUUGUGUUUUGUGUAUGUGCAGCAUGUAUACACAUUUUGUGUUUCAGCAUGUCUUUCCCAUUUAUUGCUUUCAGAUUCUCAGGUCACUUAAUUGAAAAUGAAAAAAUGAAUUUCAUUACUCUGAAUAAAAAGAAAUAAUUACUGACA